GAUUUGCAGUAGUUUAGAUUGUAAAACUUUGGUCUCUUAAUCCAUAUCUCGCAGGUUCGAUACCCGCCUUGAUCA